rnacentral:rRNA from 1 species
ACGCUCGACACCUACGGGAGGCAGCAGUGGGGAAUAUUGCACAAUGGGGGAAACCCUGAUGCAGCGACGCCGCGUGGAGGAAGAAGGUCUUCGGAUUGUAAACUCCUGUUGUUAGGGGAAAAAGAGGAUGGUACCCAACAAGGAAGUGACGGCUAACUACGUGCUAGCAGCCGCGGUAAUCUGAGGCGGGCUGGACAAGGC